rnacentral:tRNA from 1 species
UGCCACUUAGUUUAUUUAGAAUAGUCAACUUGCACUUGACAGGGGAAGAAAUUUCAGUAGCGGC